GGGCCAGUAGGUAAACGGUAUACUUAUGUCUUCGCAUGACAUAGUUCGGGGUUCAAUUCCCCGCUGGUCCA
rnacentral:tRNA from 1 species